UUUUUGUUGCUUUCAACACUACAGGCUGAUCCUACUAGCUACGACAGUUUUACCAACAAAUGUUUAGCCGUUUCGUGCUGCAACUAGUAGUCCAUUUUCUAGGAUGUAAUGCCUAAAAUUGGAAUUCAGCUAUCAGAGAUUAUCAAAAUUCAAUCGGAAACUCUAGAUGGCGUUUUUGCGCGUUUAAGAUGAAGAUUAUGAGUGACAAGCUAAAUGGGUGUUUGUUACGUUACGCUGUUAUGUAUUUCAAAGGAUUUUUCGUCAAAAAAUUUACGAUUGCUUUUUGUCUGUGUUGGUGUUUUGCCUUGUCAGCUAUGCUAGCUGCUGAACCAGCAGCCUGCAUUCCUGCUAUCAAUGUACCACAAGAGAUCCUGACACUUUGAGAAGGCCACUAUUGCUUGCAUGAAGAUCACCAUCCAGUUCAAGUACUGUUAAUGGACCUCAAGCCUUUUGUUUAAGCUUAGUGAUGUGUUCUCUUGUCAGUCAAUGACAGAGUCUUCAUCUACUUUGUGUUGCCAACUAUCCACCCUAAGCAUCCCAGGUAUCCAGAUUUCCAAGUUUCUCUGAUUAGCCAACCAUCAUCAAAACCCUUCAGCUCUUCAAUGUGGCUUCUCUUCCUCUCUUCUUAAUCUGCUGAAUGCCAACAUUGAAUAAGAUUCAUCAUCAUUGCCUUUCCAUGCUCACAUGGAUAGGCUUUAACAGCAUCUCCAUUUUUUGGACUGCAAAUAUUCAUCUUCCUUCGGUACGACACUGCCGUUUUGACAAUUUCGGCAGUUUCGCCCCCAGUGGACCACACGCAACUACAUUUUCUUCGUCUUCCUGUCGUUGUUGUCAACGACUUCAUCUCAUCACCUCAUUGAUGUCUUCGCCUUGAUCUCCGUCUCGUCAUCUUCUCCUUCAUCUCCGUCUCGUCGUCUUAGUCGUCUUCUCCUUCAUCUCCGUCUCGUCGUUUUAGUCAUCUUCGCCUUCAACUCCAUCUCGGCGUCUUCGCCGUCUUUGUCUACGCCAUCACCUCGUCGCCGGCUUCUCUUUCGCUCUGCACGUUGGGAAUUCACCGUGGAUCUUCGCUCUGGUAUUGUUUUGUUUUACAUUAUUAUGUUUAAGUUAACCCGUUGGCUGCCACCCCGUUUGCGUCCCAUUUUUGUUGUAGCUUGUAGGGACCGGCCGCAAUGGCCUUCGCCGCAAGGCGCCUUAGG